GAAUUUUGACAUGGGCGAAAGCUCGACCGAGCAACGCCGCGUGAGUGAUGAAGGCCUUCGGGUUGUAAAGCUCUGUUGUAGAGGAAGAAAUGCCAGGAUAGGAAAUGAUCUUGGCUUGACGGUACUCUGCCAGAAAGCAACGGCUAACUACGUGCCAGCAGCCGCGGUAAUACGUAGGUUGCAAGCGUUAUCCGGAAUUAUUGGGCGUAAAGGGUGCGUAGGCGGUUACGUGUGUCUAAGGUGAAAUUCCAGAGCUCAACUCUGGACUGCCUUAGAAACUGCGUGACUAGAGUGCAGGAGAGGGCAACGGAAUUCCAUGUGUAGCGGUAAAAUGCGUAGAUAUAUGGAGGAACACCGGUGGCGAAGGCGGUUGCCUGGCCUGUAACUGACGCUGAGGCACGAAAGCGUGGGGAGCAAAUAGGAUUAGAUACCCUAGUAGUCCACGCUGUAAACGAUGAAUGCUAAGUGUUGGAGUAAAAUUCAGUGCUGCAGUUAACGCAAUAAGCAUUCCGCCUGGGGAGUACGCACGCAAGUGUGAAACUCAAAGGAAUUGACGGGACCCCGCACAAGCGGUGGAUUAUGUUGUUUAAUUCGACGCAACGCGAAGAACCUUACCAGGCCUUGACAUACCGGACAAAACCAUAGAGAUAUGGUGGAGGUUGAAGGAUACAGGUGGUGCAUGUUGUCGUCAGCUCGUGUCGUGAGAUGUGGGUUAAGUCCGCAACGAGCGCAACCCUG
rnacentral:rRNA from 1 species